ensembl:lncRNA
CUUUGCGCCGCCCGCGCCUGUCUCUCGCCCUUCUAGCGCCCCUCUCUUUUUCUCCUGUCGGGCAGAGGAAGGGGAAGCGGCUACUCGAGGCUCUAUCUGGCCACGUCCUCACCGGCGCCGCGGAGGAAGCGACGUCUCAACCACUCUCCAGAAUAGCGUCCUGCACACCACUAGUCUCACAACCCGGCGCCUGGAGACUUGAAAGCUGCCUGUUUUUGCCCUCUGGUUCUUCUCCUUUAAUCGUGACGGAGUUAGGCGAGAGGCCACUCAAGGCACACCAUAAGUCCGCUGGAUUAUGGGGUGGGACUUGAAACUUGGGUCACCAAAGAAAACCAGGGUCAACUCUUCUGGAAGAUUUAAAACUUGAUCCUGGACCGCUUUCUGACUCCCCUUUCCCGAGCCCUCCUGACGUCAUGGCACGUUCUGGCCUUCUCAGCGAGAACUGGACUACGUGUCCCGGCAUACAUUGCGUGCUGCCCUUGGGUGCGAGGCAUGCUGGGAUUCGUAGUCUUCGGAGGCAUGGGUUUCCUGUGCCUUGGACUGUGCCGGAGUGCGCGCGAGGCCCUGAGGGGCGGGGUUUCUCUACCCUGGAAGGUCAUCCUCGCAGGUGGCCAACCCUCCUCACUGUUGAUAUCUCCAUAUGCUGAUUUCGCCUUUCUUUAGGAACAUUCCUUUUUAAACCUUCCCUUUAUUCCAUCUCUGCCUCUGGGUAUAAAGAGGAACCUUAUCAGAGUGUUUUGCAAACUGUACAGAAUACUGCCCGAGUAAGGAUUUGGAGGACUUUACAUUUGAGUAAGAGCCCUGGGGCAGGCUAACUGCUAAUUUCUGACUCAAUAGCUGGCCAGGUGGUUCCCCAACCAUGGAUCGGACCCGUGCCGUCUGCAGUGGAAGCUAGAAGCCUUAACCACUGGACCACCAGGAAAAUUCUGGGGCUACUUUGAACAAGGCCUCUAAUCUGGCUGGACUUGGCUUCCUCAUCUAUAAAAGAUGCUUAUCCCCGCUUCAGGGCUUUUCUAGAGUAAAGAUAUUCAAAGC